GGGUUCCUGUUCUUUUUAGAGCACGCGCAUAAAAUUUGAAGUGAAAACGAAGAGCGUGCUCCAUGUUGAUUGAUGAUAAUAAAGCAAGAUCUCAUUCAGCAUAUGGUCUACAUUUCCAGUCAGUGAUGCUUGGCCUGUACGGACUCCUACCGAAGAGAUUCUAUCUCCACUUACAGAGUUCUUGGAUGCUAUCAGAGAUUUUUUCCAGGUUGUACAUCAGUCAGCAUGGAUGCUUCUAUGGAUGGUCUGCCCACCGCUGAGCGUACAACGUUAGUGGCCAUUACCGAUGCUUCCUUCAACAGUACUACAGUCAGCAAUCUCACGCCUCUCACAUAGCAAACAAGGUUGAUGAGAGACACCGUCUUCUUAGAUGCCUGCAGAAGGGAAUACCCUCUCCACUUUGAACAAAAGUUCUUGGACUUAUCGAAAAAAAAUCCAGUAGUUCCCGGCACAGCCACAACAGUCUACCCUCAUCGUGCUACCAUCAGCAGAGGUACAGGGACCAGAAGAGGUCGGCGUGCACCUGCUCCACUUUGCUGCGCGUGCCGGUGGCCAUUAGGAACACAGCGCAGGUUGGUGGGUUGCAUCAAUGUUACAUUGGUUGUACUUGUGACCGGCGGAGCAAUGAAUUCAGGAAGGUUAGAAAGGGGUGAGUUGUUAUCAAGUCAUUUUCUUCUUGUCUCAAGAAUGUUUCAUGUCACUUCUUACAUGUACAUGCAUCAACCCAUGUGGGUGUUAGCUCAUUUUCACGCAUGCCGUCACAAAAAUUACAGCAGCAAUAAAAAACAAAAAAGGUAACAAGUUUGUCAGUUUUUGUUGUCAAUUUAUACCGCUUUCAAAUCCUGGCGCUGUAUAUCUUGGCCACCCAAACAAACAAUAAAAAUACUUGGCAAAGGGCUGCAUUAAGUGUCAAUUUUGGGGGGGUCAGUUUAUUUACAUAUGUAAAUCCCGGCGCUGCAAACAUGUACAUGUAUGAUUUGUGGUUGUCAAAUUUCAAGGUUUUUUGGUCAGUUUCAAAUCAUAACAAUGUCACAAGUCCAGCUUCAUGUUGGCGUGUUUUUACUUCAAGUGUUUAGAGUAAACAGGUAACGUUGCACUUCAAGAAAUACACUUGGCUGUACAGUUUAAAGAGUAUUUCCUCCAAUCAUUGGAUUUUGUUGAUGAGAUCCUUCGUGUAUCUACACAGUCAAUAUUAAGUGUAAAGCUUUACAUUCAAAUUUUCAUUAUGUCAGAGUCAACCGAAACAUCGGUGAGGAACUUGUCACUCAAAUCCUAUUAAUUUGCUAUCAAACUUUUUUUGUACUCAAAAUGGUUUGGGCAGCCGUACCAAUGCACAUUUAUUUAAGAAGUUUUCUCCAAAGAAUUAUAAACGAUUUGUUAGAACAAGUGGAAGCAAAUUACAAUCAUUACAAAUUCGUAAUUAUUCACUUGUUGCCAAUUAUUGAAGUUAUACGUGUUCUUCUCACUCGACUUUUUUUCCCACAAACUGAAUUUUGCAUUGAGUUGGAAAGUCAUCAACAUAUUUCAUUGCAUCUGAUGUAAUUCAAGACCCUUUUGAUUGGACAGCCAGAUGUAUUCCUUGGAAUUUGACGGUGCUUGGUCAAUUUUUAAUACUUGAAGUAAAAAUUUUCCAACAUGACACUUGACUUGUAACAUUGUUUUGAAAUGUGACUUGGAAGAGACCAAAAAAACUUGAUAUUGUACAGUGACAUGAAACUUUCUUGAGACUUGAAGAAAAUGACCAGAU